GCAUCGAUGAAGAACGCAGCCAGUUGCGAUAAGUAGUGUGAAUUGCAGAAUUCAGUGAAUCAUCGAAUCUUUGAACGCAAAUUGCGCUCUCUGGAUAUCCAGGGAGCAUGCCUGUCUGAGUGUCGUGUUAAAAACUACACACCACUGGUGUGGCAUGUGGGUAUCGAGUUUGCUUGAUCCUUUUUUUAAAAGGGUCACGUACUAAACUCGUCCCGCGAAGUGUGUGAACCUGAAUGUGCUGCUGUUGCAUGUGCAUUGGGAAGGCUCAACUUGCUUCUGUCUUUCUCAUUGCGUUAUCAUGCCAGCAGAUACAUUGUAGACGGUGAAAAGACGCUAUGUUGUCAUAACAAGUGUCAACUUCUGAUUUUGACCUCAGAUCAGACAAGACUACCCGCUGAAUUUAAGCAUAUCAAUAAGCGGAGGAA
rnacentral:rRNA from 1 species